rnacentral:rRNA from 1 species
AUUGAACGCUGGCGGCAGGCCUAACACAUGCAAGUCGAACGAGCGGCGGACGGGUGAGUAAUGUCUGGGAAACUGCCCGAUGGAGGGGGAUCACUACUGGAAACGGUAGCUAAUACCGCAUACCAUCGGAUGUGCCCAGAUGGGAUUAGCUAGUAGGUGGGGUAACGGCUCACCUGGGCGACGAUCCCUAGCUGGUCUGAGCGGAGGACCAGCCACACUGGAAUGGAGACCAGGUCCAGACUCCUACGGGAGGCAGCAGUGGGGACUAUUGCACAAUGGGCGCAAGCCUGAUGCAGCCAUGCCGCGUGUAUGAAGAAGGCCUUCGGGUUGUAAAGUACUUUCAGCGAGGAGGCGUUACUCGCAGAAGAAGCACCGGCUAACUCCGUGCCAGCAGCCGCGGUAAUAC